rnacentral:rRNA from 1 species
GACGAACGCUGGCGGCGUGCUUAACACAUGCAAGUCGAACGCUGAAGCUCAGCUUUUGUUGGGUGGAUGAGUGGCGAACGGGUGAGUAACACGUGAGUAACCUGCCCCCUUCUUUGGGAUAACGCCCGGAAACGGGUGCUAAUACUGGAUAUUCACUGGUCUUCGCAUGGGGGUUGGUGGAAAGGGUUUUUCUGGUGGGGGAUGGGCUCGCGGCCUAUCAGCUUGUUGGUGGGGUGAUGGCCUACCAAGGCUUUGACGGGUAGCCGGCCUGAGAGGGUGACCGGUCACAUUGGAACUGAGAUACGGCCCAGACUCCUACGGGAGGCAGCAGUGGGGAAUAUUGCACAAUGGGCGCAAGCCUGAUGCAGCGACGCCGCGUGAGGGAUGGAGGCCGUCGGGUUGUGAACCUCUUUCGCUCAUGGUCAAGCCGCAACAAUGGUUGUGGUGAGGGUAGUGGGUAAAGAAGCGCCGGCUAACUACGUG